CACAUCCAAGGAAGGCAGCAGGCACGCAAAUUACCCAAUCCCAGCUCUGGGAGGUAGUGACGAAAAAUAACAAUGCGGGACUCUUCCGAGUCUGCGUAAUUGGAAUGAGCACACUUUAAAUCCUUUAGCAACAACCAAUUGGAGGGCAAGUCUGGUGCCAGCAGCCGCGGUAAUUCCAGCUCCAAUAGCGUAUAUUAAAGUUGUUGCGGUUAAAAAGCUCGUAGUUCGAUUUGAGUUGCGGACUGGUGUGGGAGGUCACCGCCCGGUGCUUGCCCGCCAGGUUCCGAACAGCUUCCGUGAGUGGAAGCCAAGCCGGUUCUGCCGGGGUGCUCUUUACCGAGUGUCGCGCGCGGCCGGCCAGUUCACCUUGAAUAAAUGAGAGUGCUCAAAGCAGGCUACUCUGGAAUACAAUGCCCGAAUGUUAGCUGCAUGGAAUGAUGGAAGAUGAUCUCGGUUGCAUUUUGUUGGUGGUGGCAGCCAGAGGUAAUGAUAAAGAGGGACUGUCGGGGGCAUCCGUACUACGACGCGAGAGGUGAAAUUCAGUGACCGUCGUAGGACGAACAACAGCGAAAGCAUUUGCCAAGAAUGUCUUCGUUGAUCAAGAACGAAAGUUAGAGGAUCGAAGGCGAUCAGAUACCGCCCUAGUUCUAACCCUAAACGAUGCUGACUAGCAAUUCGCCGUCGUUAUUCCCAUGACGUGGCGAGACGCCCCCGGGAAACCUCAAGUCUUUGAGUUCCGGGGGUAGUAUGGUUGCAAAAGUGAAACUUAAAGGAAUUGACGGAAGGGCACCACCAGGAGUGGAGCCUGCGGCUUAAUUUGACUCAACACGGGGAAGCUCACCAGGCCCGGACACCAGAAGGAUUGACAGAUUAAGAGCUCUUUCUCGAUUUGGUGGGUGGUGGUGCAUGGCCGUUCUUAGUUGGUGGAGUGAUUUGUCUGGUUAAUUC
rnacentral:rRNA from 1 species